rnacentral:sRNA from 1 species
GCCGGGUAUGGUGGUGCACACCUGUAAUGCCAACUACUUGGUGGGGCUGAAGCAAGAGGAUCACAAGUUCAAGGCCAACCUGGCAACUUAGUGAGAUCCUGUCUCCA